rnacentral:rRNA from 1 species
UAGAGGAAGUAAAAGUCGUAACAAGGUCUCCGUAGGUGAACCUGCGGAGGGAUCAUUACACAAAUAUGAAGGCGGGCUGGAAUCUCUCGGGGUUACAGCCUUGCUGAAUUAUUCACCCUUGUCUUUUGCGUACUUCUUGUUUCCUUGGUGGGUUCGCCCACCACUAGGACAAACAUAAACCUUUUGUAAUUGCAAUCAGCGUCAGUAACAAAUUAAUAAUUACAACUUUCAACAACGGAUCUCUUGGUUCUGGCAUCGAUGAAGAACGCAGCGAAAUGCGAUAAGUAGUGUGAAUUGCAGAAUUCAGUGAAUCAUCGAAUCUUUGAACGCACAUUGCGCCCUUUGGUAUUCCAAAGGGCAUGCCUGUUCGAGCGUCAUUUGUACCCUCAAGCUUUGCUUGGUGUUGGGCGUCUUGUCUCUAGCUUUGCUGGAGACUCGCCUUAAAGUAAUUGGCAGCCGGCCUACUGGUUUCGGAGCGCAGCACAAGUCGCACUCUCUAUCAGCAAAGGUCUAGCAUCCAUUAAGCCUUUUUUUCAACUUUUGACCUCGGAUCAGGUAGGGAUACCCGCUGAACUUAAGCAUAUCAAUAAAGCGGAGGA